rnacentral:lncRNA from 1 species
CCAAAUGAAAACUCGUUAUCUUUUGCUACAAAUAGAAGAUACUUGUGAAAACACAGGAAUAUAAAACAGGGCAGUUUCCUCCAGAAGUCUGGACUUUAGCUCCUAAAGUUCAUCAGUAUAGAGUGGUUGGAGAAAAGCAUAGAGCCCUGGCCUCAGCCACUGGCUCUGCUCAUCUCUGCUUUUAGCAUGAAUAACUAUGCAGGGUCAAAGGCCCAGGCCCCACCAUCACCCAUCCACCCACACCUUCCCCACUCCCAGCUCUGGGCUUUCACCCUGCCCACCAGAUGGGGGGCUGGCUGAGGAAAACAGACCUCCAGCUCACUCCCAAUCUAAACCCACUGCCUUCAGACUUCCCCAUUGGGAACCAGAUGUCCUUCUAGCCAAUACUCAAACUCUUAAGAAAUGGUGAUGACACUCACACAUGUACAUCCAUGAGCUCAGUGGUAGAGUUCUUGCCUAGCACACCUCUGAGGCAAUGGGUUCUGUUCCCAGCAGCACUGCAAACAAAACAAAAACACCCAAAUGCAUGCUCAGAGCCUGAACAGGGCCAGUCCUUUUAUUAUUUGUCUCCUUCCUGGUUCCAUAGAGGGCUGGAGAAAGUUUCUAAUUAAUCCAGGAAUGAAAGUGUAAACAGCCAGUAAUAAAGUUCUAGGUGAUCCUUGUACGGUUAGGUAUUGAUACCCCGCAUCACGCUGCGGUCCUGCGUGCUGCUCUAAACUGCGGACUAAGCCUCCCUCCUGCCCACGCCAUACCUGGCACCCAGGAAGAUACACCCACAUACCCACCGGCUCUCUGACUCCUGAAAACGGCCCAUUGUCUUUUUCACACAGCAGGAGCGCCUCCCCCGGUCUCCAGCACGCCUAGCCUUUCUCAGAGUAGAGAAAGGUCCUGGCAAGCGUAGUGUCGGUGGGCGUCGAAGAAGGUAGUGUCCAUUCCAGGCUGUGCCUCCCAGCUGGAGACAGCGCCAGUUCCAGAGCCAUACCAGUCACCUCCCAUCAUCCAGACCUUCUCAAACACAGAGAAGGGCCUUAAGGUCCCAGAGAAAUUGGAAGUGAAGUCCGGGUCUGGGUCUGGGAAAUUCAUUAUGGGGAUGU